rnacentral:tRNA from 1 species
GCCCGGUUAGCUCAAUUGGUCAGAGCGUCAGACUUUUAUCCGAAAGUCCAUCUGAAUGUUGCGAGUUCGAGUCUCGCAUCGGGCG